rnacentral:rRNA from 1 species
AUUGAACGCUGGCGGCAUGCCUUACACAUGCAAGUCGAACGGUAACAGGUCUUCGGAUGCUGACGAGUGGCGAACGGGUGAGUAAUACAUCGGAACGUGCCUAGUAGUGGGGGAUAACUACUCGAAAGAGUGGCUAAUACCGCAUGAGAUCUACGGAUGAAAGCAGGGGAUCGCAAGACCUUGUGCUACUAGAGCGGCCGAUGGCAGAUUAGGUAGUUGGUGGGAUAAAAGCUUACCAAGCCGACGAUCUGUAGCUGGUCUGAGAGGACGAUCAGCCACACUGGGACUGAGACACGGCCCAGACUCCUACGGGAGGCAGCAGUGGGGAAUUUUGGACAAUGGGCGCAAGCCUGAUCCAGCAAUGCAGCGUGCAGGAUGAAGGCCUUCGGGUUGUAAACUGCUUUUGUACGGAACGAAAAGCCCCGGGUUAAUACCCUGGGGUCAUGACGGUACCGUAAGAAUAAGCACCGGCUAACUACGUGCCAGCAGCCGCCGUAAGAC